CCUGGCGGCCGCCUACACAUGCAAGUCGAACGAGACCUUCGGGUCUAGUGGCGCACGGGUGCGUAACGCGUGGGAAUCUGCCCUCGGGUUCGGGAUAACAGUUGGAAACGACUGCUAAUACCGGAUGAUGACUUCGGUCCAAAGAUUUAUCGCCCAGGGAUGAGCCCGCGUAGGAUUAGCUAGUUGGUGAGGUAAAGGCUCACCAAGGCGACGAUCCUUAGCUGGUCUGAGAGGAUGAUCAGCCACACUGGGACUGAGACACGGCCCAGACUCCUACGGGAGGCAGCAGUGGGGAAUAUUGGACAAUGGGCGAAAGCCUGAUCCAGCAAUGCCGCGUGAGUGAUGAAGGCCUUAGGGUUGUAAAGCUCUUUUACCCGGGAUGAUAAUGACAGUACCGGGAGAAUAAGCCCCGGCUAACUCCGUGCCAGCAGCCGCGGUAAU
rnacentral:rRNA from 1 species